rnacentral:rRNA from 1 species
GAUGAACGCUGGCGGCGUGCCUAACACAUGCAAGUCGAACGGAGUCCAGCCUUUAAGACCUUCGGGUCAAAGAGGGGAAGACUGAGUGGCGGACGGGUGAGUAACACGUGGGCAACCUGGCUCAUAGAGGGGGAUAACAGAGAGAAAUUUCUGCUAAUACCGCAUAAGCACACCCUGCCGCAUGGCAGAGGGUGAAAAGAGAAUCGCUAUGAGAUGGACCCGCGUCUGAUUAGCCAGUUGGCAGGGUAAGAGCCUACCAAAGCGACGAUCAGUAGCCGAUCUGAGAGGAUGAACGGCCACAUUGGGACUGAGACACGGCCCAAACUCCUACGGGAGGCAGCAGUGGGGGAUAUUGCACAAUGGGGGGAACCCUGAUGCAGCGACGCCGCGUGAGUGAAGAAGUAUUUCGGUAUGUAAAGCUCUAUCAGCAGGGAAGAUAAUGACAGUACCUGAAUAAGAAGCCCCGGCUAACUACGU